rnacentral:rRNA from 1 species
CAGUCGCCGCGGUAAUACGUAGGUGGCAAGCGUUGUCCGGAAUUAUUGGGCGUAAAGGGCUCGCAGGCGGUUUCUUAAGUCUGAUGUGAAAGCCCCCGGCUCAACCGGAGAGGGUCAUCGGAAACUGGGAAACUUGAGUGCAGAAGAGGAGAGUGGAAUUCCACGUGUAGCGGUGAAAUGCGUAGAGAUGUGGAGGAACACCAGUGGCGAAGGCGACUCUCUGGUCUGUAACUGACGCUGAGGAGCGAAAGCGUGGGGAGCGAACAGGAUUAGAUACCCCGAGUAGUCCCUGUCUCUUAUA